CCUUUUACCAUCUGCAGAUUCUCACUCUGUUCCCUUUUUGAGAUCCAUUAGUUAAUGCAUACAUUUGAACUACAACUUUUCUCCCUUUGUUCUCUGCCUACCAGCUGCAAAACUCCUAGCACAGCCCCUUUUAUCAAGUGCAGUUAGCAGGAACAUUUUAUAAUAAUAAUAAUAAAAAUCCAACCUCUCCCAAUCCUUUGUCCAAAUUGGCUGGCUUUUCUUUGAGCAGAUCAUGACACACGACUGGACCAAACCAAAGCAAUGCUUGUUGAGAAUGUUGCCCCUCGCUGGAUCAGUGUGAAGGAGACAGAUUACCCCGGAAGGGGAGAGACUUUGAAGGGGCAAGUCCCAGGAAGACCCAGGUCACCACAGAGGCAGAGCCGCUGUCAGCAGGAGGUACUCAGCCAGGCAAGAGUUGUUAUGCCAUGCCUGGCCACAAGGAAGUACCAGUGGUUAGUCAAUCAGUUCAACAAACCCUGCUGAAUCAAUUACUUCUCCUUACAAGUAAUAUCAGCAUAUUAAGUCAUUUAUCUGAAAAACAGUUGUAUACAAGAUCAUGGCAUAUUUUUUUUCACCUUCAGGAUGCUACUAAACAGGAGAAUAUUAUCCGAUGUGCAGGAAACAAUGAAGAGUACUGUAAUGUCCUGAGCAGUCACAAUAACCUGUCCUCCCCUUAAUGACAGGUUUAGUAGUUUGUCAAAACCCAUCAUCUGAAUUGAUCAGAUUGAAUUACUUCAACAACUGAUGAACUGGAGGUAUUCAUGUGGCGAAAUAAAAGAAGCCAAAUACUUGUGCUUAGUAGGUGCUUUCCAAGAAGAGAAGCCUCUGUCUCACUGAAGCCUCUCAUCUAGGUUGUUUUCCAGAAGCAGAAACAACUUCUUAAAAUGAGAAACAUAAUAUUUAUUAUACUCAACCUAAUUUACUACAAAGAAGGAAGAUUCAUAAUCCUGUUUUCAAUCCAGAAAAGGCUGCCACCGUUUCAAAACACAGAAGCAUGCCUGGCUGUAUUAAUUUUAACAGGGUAUAGAUUGGGAGAAGAAAAGUGGAUUUGCCCUAUUCAAGAACAGCCAACGAUGCCGUGUGCUGCAAGUCCCAGACCAGCUUGAAGCUUCUGCUAAAAUGAUCAAUAGUGAAAGAAUUAAUGGGUGUUAAUAUUUAAAACAUAAGUAAGUUUCAGAGUGAACACAUUAAGAUAAAUAGAGUCUGGUCAUAUCACUCAGCUUUUGCUUCUGUAUGAGUAGGUUAAACCGUCUUGCACAGGUUACUGUUUGGAAAGUUGACCUCACAGCCAUUGCCCUGAUUCUGCAAAUACAUAGGGAAGAGACAACGAGGAGUCCUUGUGGCACCUAAGAGACUAAUCAAUUUAUUUGGCCAUAAGCUUUCG